rnacentral:rRNA from 1 species
CCUACGGGUGGCAGCAGUGGGGAAUAUUGCACAAUGGGCGAAACCCUGAUGCAGCAACGCCGCGUGAGUGCAGAAGGCUUUCGGUGUUUAAAGCUCUAUUAGCAGGGAAGAAACAGACGGUAACUGACUAAUCAGCCCCGGCUAAUUACGUGCCAGCAGCAGCGGUAAUACGUAGGGGGCCAGCGUUAUCCGGAUUUACUGGGUGUAAAGGGAGCGUAGGCGGCGAUGCAAGUCAGACGUGAAAGCCCGGGGCUCAACCCCGGGACUGCUUUUGAAACUGUGUUGCUAGAGUGCAGGAGAGGUAAGUGGAAUUCCUAGUGUAGCGGUGAAAUGCGUAGAUAUUAGGAGGAACACCAGUGGCGAAGGCGGCUUACUGGACUGUAAAUGACGCUGAGGCUCGAAAGCGUGGGGAGCAAACAGGAUUAGAUACCCCGGUAGUC